GUGGGGAAUUGUUCGCAAUGGGCGCAAGCCUGACGACGCAACGCCGCGUGGAGGAUGAAGGUCUUCGGAUUGUAAACUCCUGUUGAUUGGGACGAAUGUCUCUGGGGCUAACACCACCAGGGAGUGACGGUACCGAUUGAGGAAGCCCCGGCUAACUCUGUGCCAGCAGCCGCGGUAAUACAGAGGGGGCGAGCGUUGUUCGGAAUUACUGGGCGUAAAGGGCGCGUAGGUGGCCGCCUAAGUCAGACGUGAAAUCCCUCGGCUCAACCGGGGAACUGCGUCUGAUACUGGGUGGCUUGAAUCCGGGAGAGGGAUGUGGAAUUCCAGGUGUAGCGGUGAAAUGCGUAGAUAUCUGGAGGAACACCGGUGGCGAAGGCGGCAUCCUGGACCGGUAUUGACGCUGAGGCGCGAAAGCCAGGGGAGCAAACGGGAUUAGAAACCCCAGUAGUCC
rnacentral:rRNA from 1 species